rnacentral:rRNA from 1 species
GCAAGCCUGACGGAGCAACGCCGCGUGAGGGAUGGAGGCCUUUGGGCUGUAAACCUCUUUUCUCAAGGAAGAAGAUCUGACGGUACUUGAGGAAUAAGCCACGGCUAAUUCCGUGCCAGCAGCCGCGGUAAUACGGGAGUGGCAAGCGUUAUCCGGAAUUAUUGGGCGUAAAGCGUCCGCAGGCGGCCGUUUAAGUCUGUUGUUAAAUCGUGGAGCUCAACUCCAUCACGGCAAUGGAAACUGCUCGGCUUGAGUAUGGUAGGGGCAGAGGGAAUUUCCGGUGUAGCGGUGAAAUGCGUAGAUAUCGGGAAGAACACCAGUGGCAAAAGCGCUCUGCUGGGCCAUUACUGACGCUCAUGGACGAAAGCCAGGGGAGCGAAAGGGAUUAGAUACCCCUAUAGUCCUGGCCGUAAACGAUGAACACUAGAUGUUGGGGGAAUCGACCCCUUCGGUGUCGCAGCUAACGCGUUAAGUGUUCCGCCUGGGGAGUACGCACGCAAGUGUGAAACUCAAAGGAAUUGACGGGGGCCCGCACAAGCGGUGGAGUAUGUGGUUUAAUUCGAUGCAACGCGAAGAACCUUACCAGGGCUUGACAUCCUGCGAAUCUCUAAGAAAUUAGAGAGUGCCCUUUGGGAACGCAGUGACAGGUGGUGCAUGGCUGCCGUCAGCUCGUGUCGUGAGAUGUUGGGUUAAGUCCCGCAACGAGCGCAACCCACGUUUUUAGUUGCCAGCAUUCAGUUGGGCACUCUAGAAAGACUGCCGGUGACAAACCGGAGGAAGGUGUGGACGACGUCAAGUCAUCAUGCCCCUUACGCCUUGGGCUACACACGUACUACAAUGCUGCGGACAAAGAGUAGCGAUCUUGCAAAAGUUAGCUAAUCUCGUAAACCGUGGCUCAGUUCAGAUCGUAGGCUGCAACUCGCCUACGUGAAGGAGGAAUCGCUAGUAAUCGCAGGUCAGCAUACUGCGGUGAAUACGUUCCCGGGCCUUGUACACACCGCCCGUCACACCAUGGAAGUUGGCC